GGUGAUGGAGAGCUCAAUUUCAAGAGCAGUUUAGUUUGUAGCUUUGCUAGUUUGAUGACUCACACUCCUAGACCCGUAAUUCUCAACAGUUGUAUCCAGUCAAUUCCUAAGCAAUGUAUUUUUUAUGAUUUGUCGAAUCGUAUGGAAACAUUCUAUGUUCAGUUAAGAUGUUAUCACACUCUUUUACAUAAAAUUAAAUAUCUGAAGUUCAAUCCAGUAAUUGAUCAUCUCAUCAUCAUUACACCUUGGCUUGUCCAAAGAAUUUCAGAUGGUUUCUCAAUUUGAUGUCUUAUUCUGUAUGGAAUUGCUCAUUUUUUAUUUAUUAAAAUAUAACUUAUGGAGUAUCAAAAGCUUCCGGAGGGAAUUCUACUGUGCAAUGUCAAUCGUCUGCUGGCGAGUGAUUAUCGGGAAGAUGCAAUAUCAACACUUUAUUGAAGUUCAGGCUCCUUUGUCAUCGUCUUCAGAGAUUAAAUUUUAUUAAUUUGGAAGAACAUGACAUCAGUAAUGGUGAGGCGAAGGUUGUAGAAGGUGAACCGUCCAAAGGCCUGCUAGAAAACAACAAAUGCUAUCUACUGGAUUGUGGUGCUGAGGUAUUUGUUUGGGUUGGCCGUGUAACACAAGUGGAGGAG
rnacentral:misc_RNA from 1 species